rnacentral:rRNA from 1 species
UACAGAGGUCUCGAGCGUUAGGCGGAAUCACUGGGCUUAAAGCGUGUGUAGGCGGAUCGGUAAGUACCUUGUGAAAUCCCACAGCUUAACUGUGGAACUGCUUGGUAUACUGCCAGUCUUGAGCCAGCUAGGGGCUACCGGAACAAAUGGUGGAGCGGUGAAAUGCGUAGAUAUCAUUUGGAACGCCAAUGGUGAAAACAGGUAGCUGGGGCUGUGCUGACGCUGAGACACGAAAGCGAGGGGAGCGAACGGG